rnacentral:rRNA from 1 species
UACGUAGGGGGCGAGCGUUGUCCGGAUUUAUUGGGCGUAAAAGGCUUGUAGGCGGCUGCGUAAGUCGGGCGUGAAAUCCCAUGGCUCAACCAUGGAAGUGCACCCGAAACUGCGUAGCUAGAGUCCUGGAGAGGAAGGUGGAAUACUUGGUGUAGAGGUGAAAUUCGUAGAUAUCAAGUGGAACACCGGUGGCGAAGGCGGCCUUCUGGACAGUGACUGACGCUGAGACGCGAAAGCGUGGGGAGCAAACAGG